rnacentral:rRNA from 1 species
UUUUGGACAAUGGGCGAAAGCCUGAUCCAGCAAUGCCGCGUGUGGGAAGAAGGCCUUCGGGUUGUAAACCACCUUUGUACGGAACGAAACGGUCUGCUUUAAUACAGUGGGCUAAUGACGGUACCGUAAGAAUAAGCACCGGCUAACUACGUGCCAGCAGCCGCGGUAAUACGUAGGGUGCGAGCGUUAAUCGGAAUUACUGGGCGUAAAGCGUGCGCAGGCGGUUAUAUAAGACAGUUGUGAAAUCCCCGGGCUCAACCUGGGAAUUGCAUCUGUGACUGUAUAGCUAGAGUACGGUAGAGGGGGAUGGAAUUCCGCGUGUAGCAGUGAAAUGCGUAGAUAUGCGGAGGAACACCGAUGGCGAAGGCAAUCCCCUGGACCUGUACUGACGCUCAUGCACGAAA